UGUACUGUAUGACCAGCAGGAUGGUGUGUGUGUGUACUGUAUGACCAGCAGGGUGGUGUGUGUGUACUGUAUGACCAGCAGGAUGGUGUGUGUGUGUGUACUGUAUGACCAGCAGGAUGGAUGGUGUGUGUACUGUAUGACCAGCAGGAUGGUGUGUGUGUGUACUGUAUGACCAGCAGGAUGGUGUGUGUGUGUACUGUAUGACCAGCAGGAUGAUGUGUGUGUACUGUAUGACCAGCAGGAUGGUGUGUGUGUGUACUGUAUGACCAGCAGGAUGGUGUGUGUGUGUGUACUGUAUGACCAGCAGGAUGGUGUGUGUACUGUAUGACCAGCAGGAUGGUGUGUGUGUGUACUGUAUGACCAGCAGGAUGGUGUGUGUGUGUGUACUGUAUGACCAGCAGGAUGGUGUGUGUGUGUACUGUAUGACCAGCAGGAUGGUGUGUGUGUGUGUGUACUGUAUGACCAGCAGGAUGGUGUGUGUGUACUGUAUGACCAGCAGGAUGGUGUGUGUGUGUGUAC